rnacentral:rRNA from 1 species
AAACAUCGCCUCCUGCAACACAAUCCUGUAUAGGAGGUCCAGCCUGCCCAGUGACUACAAGUUCAACGGCCGCGGUAUUUUAACCGUGCAAAGGUAGCGCAAUCACUUGUCUUUUAAAUAGAGACCUGUAUGAAUGGCUAAACGAGGGCUUAACUGUCUCCCUUUUCCAGUCAGUGAAAUUGAUCUGCCCGUGCAGAAGCGGGCAUAAAAAUACAAGACGAGAAGACCCUUUGGAGCUUAAGGUACAAAACUCAACCACGUCAAGCAACUCAAUAAAAAGCAAUAAACCUUGUGGAAUAUGAGAUUUUACCUUCGGUUGGGGCGACCACGGAGGAAAAUAAAGCCUCCAAGUGGAUUGGGAAAAUCCUCCUAAAACCAAGAGAGACAUCUCUAAGCCACAGAACAUCUGACCAAACAUGAUCCGGCUACCCAAAGCCGAUCAACGAACCAAGUUACCCUAGGGAUAACAGCGCAAUCCCCUCCCAGAGUCCAUAUCGACGAGGGGGUUUACGACCUCGAUGUUGGAUCAGGACAUCCUAAUGGUGCAGCCGCUAUUAAGGGUUCGUUUGUUCAACGAUUAAAGUCCUACGUGA